GCUGCGGCGUCGCUUCCACCACCGACGGGUCUCCAGCGACUCGUCUUUGUCGUACACCGCGCCCCCUCCCACCCUCUACUCCUCCUGGAUGGCAUCCCCUAGCUCGGUGCGCUCACGUGCGUUGGGCUGGACGGCGAUAACCCCGACCCCCUCGCCGCGUCGCCGGCACGGCCGUGCUUCCUGUGGCGACAUGGAUUGAUCUUCAUACUUGUUAUUUGACCCAUCGUAGUUCUGCUUCAUUGCCAUCUGAAUUGCGAAGUUGAAGGAAAUUUUUUGAGGGGUUGGGUGUGACUGAUUUUGUUCAGGUAGUGAAAGUUGAGAAAAAAAUAUUUGAGGCUGUUUACGUUCAAGAGUAGCAAAUUAGGCUCUAUAUAGUCAGGAAACUGUCUGAUGCCUUCUUGGUUUGAUUAAAAUUACAAUGAGAAUCAGGUAGCCGAAGUUUUAGUUGACUGUUGUUGGUAUUGAUGCUCAAGUGGCAACUAUUGUGUUAUUUUGAGAACCUAUAACAUGAUCUUGGACCCCUAAUGGAUGAUCGAUGCAUAAUCCCUUUAUGCUGCAUGUUAUGUGUGUUUCUUUUUUCUUGUAUUAUUAAUUGAUUCUCAUAACCACCGAACAAUUAUCUCCAUCUAUUAUGUUCAACAGUAAUCGUUGCGAAAAGUUAAUCUUCAAACUGGAAAAGUAUCAUACUUACCUUAGCAUGUCUCAUGUUCGCAACAUCUCCGACCUUUAUUAUUCAUUCUGUACACUGGAAAAGUUAAUCUUCAAACUGGAAAAAUUAAUCUUCAUGCCUUGUUGCUUAACACUGUCAUUUCUCACUCAGGUUUUAGUACUGCAGCCGAUGGAUGGGAAAAUGUUUGGCGAAGGUCUAACACUUCUGGGUGAUAGGUUUCCACUGAUCAGUGAGGACGGUUGAUGAUGACAAUUGAACGACUGAAUCCGUCCAUUGACAGAAUUAAAGAGACCCGAAGAAUUGUGCUGGAGACAAAAGUACUUGGUGUGUCAAUUCUUCCAGACACUCAUCAACAAUGGCAGUCACUACUGCAUGCUCACACUACAGUUUCCUUUGGUUGUGAGAGGCGCAUAGGAAGGUUGAGCUGCCGAGGUGACCUUGAUGAUUAAGAGGGUCUGUACAAUGUUGAUGUAAUCUAGCGUAAUUGUUAUUGAGGGCAUGUGAAGUAAUGUUGUAUGUGUUUUUGGCACAUUUUAGAAGGCCUUAACUUGCUGAAAUUAUUGAAUAGAAAUUUGUGAAAUGGCAAAACUAUGGAUUCGUUGAAUGAAAAUUAAUUGUGCUGUGAAAGCUUUUUUUAUUAUGUGUAAUGUCUUGUGCCAUAGCUGGUUGGAUGAAUAUUAUGGGCUGGAUUGAAAAAAUUCGGCUAAACUGCCACUAAAAAAAAUAGGGAAUCGGCUUGGCUAU